rnacentral:rRNA from 1 species
CCUACGGGAGGCAGCAGUGGGGAAUAUUGCACAAUGGGGGAAACCCUGAUGCAGCGACGCCGCGUGAGUGAAGAAGUAAUUCGUUAUGUAAAGCUCUAUCAGCAGGGAAGAAAAUGACGGUACCUGAGUAAGAAGCCCCGGCUAACUACGUGCCAGCAGCCGCGGUACUACGUAGGGGGCAAGCGUUAUCCGGAUUUACUGGGUGUAAAGGGAGCGUAGACGGCAGUGCAAGUCUGAAGUGAAAGGCGGGGGCUCAACCCCCGAACUGCUCUGGAAACUGUACGGCUGGAGUGCAGGAGAGGUAAGUGGAAUUCCUAGUGUAGCGGUGAAAUGCGUAGAUAUGAGGAGGAACACCAGUGGCGAAGGCGGCUUACUGGACUGUAACUGACGUUGAGGCUCGAAAGCGUGGGGAGCAAACAGGAUUAGAUACCCGAGUAGUC